GGGAGUCCGCUGUCCUCACAGCAAGAAACGGAAGGAGGUGCCCUCAGGGCUCUUUUGCCUCCCGGAAGUACAAGGUGCCUCCAUCUUCACAGCAUGCAGGAAGCCGAGGAGAUGCCAUGUGAGGGUGCAGCGAGGAGUCGGGCUGUCUAGAGCAAAGAAAGAUUUCAUCAGACACUGCAUCUGCUGACACCUUGUUCUUGGACUUCCAGCUUCCAAAACCUCGAGAAAUAAAUGUCUGUGUCUAACCCCCAACCCUACCACCUCACCUCCCGUGUGUGGUAUUUUGUGAUGGCAGCCCCAGCUGACUGAGACACCUGGUUAGACCGGAAUAAGCAGGCUGCAAUCGGUAGCAAUCACCAUUGAACAUCCUUGAAGCAAUUCUUCCAAAAUUACCUUGCAUCAAAGACUGCACAAGAACUGCUCUAAGUGGAAGGACUGAUGUCGGCAACCUGGGUUCCACCAGGGGCUGCAGACAGUCCUUGACCUUCAGGUGUGAAGGUGUCACUGAGUUCAGACCCUCUGGCAAUCCCUAGCUAUCAACAUUUUGAUAAGAAAAUAAGUGCAAAGGGCUAGUGUGAGCAUCCCUGUGCAAUGGCUUAUUGGGAAAUUGAUGUGCAUUGCACUGGAAGCAAUCUCCUCAUCUUCCUGCUUACUCAUCAAACUGAAAAAGGAAACACAGACUACCAUUCAUUGUAUGGCUACAAGGCACUAUGCAUUUUCAUACAAUAUAUCUAAAGCCCAUAACUCACCAAAAUAAACCAUUGCUGCCACAAUUUAA